AACGAACGCUGGCGGCAGGCUUAACACAUGCAAGUCGAACGAAGUCUUCGGACUUAGUGGCGCACGGGGUGAGUAACACGUGGGAAUAUACCUCUUGGUGGGGAAUAACAUCGGGAAACUGAUGCUAAUACCGCAUACGCCCUUCGGGGAAAGAUUAUCGCCGAGAGAUUAGCCCGCGUCCGAUUAGCUAGUUGGUGAGGUAAUGGCUCACCAAGGCGACGAUCGGUAGCUGGUCUGAGAGGAUGAUCAGCCACACUGGGACUGAGACACGGCCCAGACUCCUACGGGAGGCAGCAGUGGGGAAUAUUGGACAAUGGGCGAAAGCCUGGAUCCAGCCAUGCCGCGUGAGUGAUGAAGGCCUUAGGUGUAAGCUCUUUCACCCACGACGAUGAUGACGGUAGUGGGAGAAG
rnacentral:rRNA from 1 species